rnacentral:misc_RNA from 1 species
AAAUGCGAUAAGUAAUGUGAAUUGCAGAAUUCAGUGAAUCAUCGAAUCUUUGAACGCACAUUGCGCCCGCCAGUAUUCUGGCGGGCAUGCCUGUUCGAGCGUCAUUUCAACCCUCAAGCCCUGCUUGGUGUUGGGGAUCGGCGUUGCCUCCUCCGUCGUUCGCGGCGGGGUGAGGUCGCCGCCCCCGAAAUGAAUUGGCGGUCUCGUCGCAGCGUUCCUUUGCGUAGUAACAUACCACCUCGCAACCAGGAGCGCGGCGCGGCCACUGCCGUAAAACGCCCAACUUUUUCAAGAGUUGACCUCGAAUCAGGUAGGAAUACCCGCUGAACUUAAGC